UACGGGGGGGGCAAGCGUUGUUCGGAAUUACUGGGCGUAAAGGGCUCGUAGGCGGCCAACUAAGUCGGACGUGAAAUCCCUCGGCUUAACCGGGGAACUGCGUCCGAUACUGGAUGGCUUGAGAUUGGGAGAGGGAUGCGGAAUUCCAGGUGUAGCGGUGAAAUGCGUAGAUAUCUGGAGGAACACCAGCGGCGAAGGCGGUGCUCUGGGCCGGAACUGACACUGAGGAGCGAAAGCGUGGGUAGCAAACAGG
rnacentral:rRNA from 1 species